rnacentral:misc_RNA from 1 species
CAGAGUGUGGCAGAUGCCCAGCGGUGGAUGGAUCAUUAUCAGGGCGUGCUUAACAUCCAGAACCAUUACUCAGCCACCAUGCACUACAGCACUCCCAAGACGCCUGACAAGGGCCCCAUCCACAAGACAGACUGGACCUGUAGCAAGAGUCUGAGAGGAAACAGGAAGGGGAUGGCUUUGACCAGGUCGGCACAAAUCCAUGCAACACCUUAAUUUUGCGAGGAUUAGAUGCUUUGACAACUGAGGACAACAUCUUGCACGUAAUGAGUCAGAUCACCACUUUCCCUCUGAAGAAUGUUCAGAUCAUCCGUGAUGAUGCCACGAACACGUCCAAGGGGUUCGGGUUCAUGGAGCUGAACACUGUCAAUGAGGCGUCUCAGCUGAUGGACCAGUUCAAUAACCACGUUCCACUUGAAGUGGAUGGCAAACAGCUGCUGGUGAAUUAUGCCAAAAAUACAUUCUCCACUGUGAUGGCCACAAUAAGUGCUGCUGCAAGCCAGUUGGGUACAGCUCAGGGCCAGGGCUGGGCUUACAACCAAGCCAACCAACAGGGAUUCUAUGAUCAGAACUAUUAUCAGGGUACAGACUACAACCAGGCAGCCUACAAUCAAUACUACGAGGGCACGCAGACGGAUUCUACAAAUGCAGCAGCAGCUGUAGCCCAGGCAGCCAUCAAUAAAUCUCUGGCAGCCAAGGCUACCCCACAACAGAAAAAGGGCCAGACCAAAGAACCUCCUCAGGCGCCAACUCAAGAGCAGAUUGCUGCCCAGGAUUACCCAACAUAUCCUCCCCCUGACGUGUCUACAUACCAGUACGAGGAAACCUCUGGGUACUACUAUGACCCCCUCACAACCUUGUACUAUGACGCCAACUCCCAGUACUAUUACAAUGCUCAGACAGGCCAGUUCCUGUACUGGGAUGCAGAGAAGUCAACCUACUUACCAGCUCCCACUGGGCAUGGAGCCACCCCAGCAACUGAAGGGGAGGGAACAUCAGAGAAGAAGAAUAAAAAGGAGGAAAAGAAGGAGAAGAAUAAGAUGGCAAAGAAAAUAGCUAAAGACAUGGAAAAGUGGGCUCAGACCAUGAAUAAGCAAAAAGAGGCAAUGAAAGGCUUUAAUGCAGCACUGAAAGCUAUGAAUGGACCUAAUGAAAGGAAAGAAUCAGCCACUGCUGAUGCAGGCUAUGCCAUUCUGGAGAAAAGCGCUAAGGGAGGUUUAGAGGACAAGAAGUUGAUGCCUCCACCAACAGUAGCAACUAACUCGCCCAGUCAGGCGUCGGGUGGUGGUAAGCCCGGUCUGGUGGCAUCCUACGGUGGUGACAGCGAUGAGGAGGAGCCCGGUGAUGACGACUCUGGAAUCCUGGACGAGAGCCGACUGACGGACUGGAACAAGCUGGCCUGUCUACUGUGUAAGAGACAGUUCCAGACCAAGGAGAUCCUCAUAAAGCACCAGCAGAUGUCUGACCUCCACAAGCAAAAUUUAGAAAAUCUUGUGAAGAUGAAGGCUGCAGCAGGUGGGAAUGACUCGGGACAGUUUCAAUAUCGAGACAGAGCCAAGGAGAGACGUGACAAGUACGGGAUUCCCCCUCCCCCAGAACCCCGACACAAGAGACCAGAUCUUCCUGUACCGUAUGAGCAGCCUACCAAGUCUGGUAUCGGAGGAGACAACAUAGGCAAUAAGCUACUACAGAAGAUGGGCUGGAAGGCUGGCAAAGGGCUGGGCAAGUCUGGACAGGGCAUCGUCAACCCCAUCGAGGCUGAGAGGAGAGCCCAGGCGGCUGGACUAGGGAUGAGAGGAGCUAACUAUGGCACAACCGCCGGCGACGAUUACAGGGAGUCCGUCAAGAAAACCAUGUUUGCCAGAUAUCAUGAAAUGGACUCCUGAUGAAACAACUGAUGCUAGAGUGACUGUGUAUGUGUAUUAUAUAGGAUGCUUGUGUAUGGAUGUGCUUAAAAGGAACUGGGAAAUGCUAGGAUUUCUGUUCUAACCAAUACAUACCUAGAAAGGGUGUACUGUUGUUGAAGGAAUUCUUCAAUUAUUAAUCAUUUCAUUUUGCGUAUGACCUUUGAUAUCUGUGAUUUUAAUUUGAACUCGUUAUGUUAAAAAGAUACUUUAAAAGAAUCAGGUGAUGAUUGAUAAAGAAUUGGAGAAUGCCAAUAGUAUUCUACCAUUGUAAAUAUAUAAAUGCAGCAAUAAAAAUCAUUACGAAAG